rnacentral:tRNA from 1 species
UGUGUUGUGAUUCAGUGGUAGAAUCCUUAUCUUCCACAUGGGAGACCCAGGUUUGAGUCUUGGCUGGACAU